rnacentral:rRNA from 1 species
UCCUGACUGACCGAUAGUGAACCAGUACCGUGAGGGAAAGGCGAAAAGAACCCCGGCGAGGGGAGUGAAAAAGAACCUGAAACCGUGUACGUACAAGCAGUGGGAGCACGCUUAGGCGUGUGACUGCGUACCUUUUGUAUAAUGGGUCAGCGACUUAUAUUCUGUAGCAAGGUUAACCGAAUAGGGGAGCCGAAGGGAAACCGAGUCUUAACUGGGCGUUAAGUUGCAGGGUAUAGACCCGAAACCCGGUGAUCUAGCCAUGGGCAGGUUGAAGGUUGGGUAACACUAACUGGAGGACCGAACCGACUAAUGUUGAAAAAUUAGCGGAUGACUUGUGGCUGGGGGUGAAAGGCCAAUCAAACCGGGAGAUAGCUGGUUCUCCCCGAAAGCUAUUUAGGUAGCGCCUCGUGAAUUCAUCUCCGGGGGUAGAGCACUGUUUCGGCAAGGGGGUCAUCCCGACUUACCAACCCGAUGCAAACUGCGAAUACCGGAGAAUGUUAUCACGGGAGACACACGGCGGGUGCUAACGUCCGUCGUGAAGAGGGAAACAACCCAGACCGCCAGCUAAGGUCCCAAAGUCAUGGUUAAGUGGGAAACGAUGUGGGAAGGCCCAGACAGCCAGGAUGUUGGCUUAGAAGCAGCCAUCAUUUAAAGAAAGCGUAAUAGCUCACUGGUCGAGUCGGCCUGCGCGGAAGAUGUAACGGGGCUAAACCAUGCACCGAAGCUGCGGCAGCGACGCUUAUGCGUUGUUGGGUAGGGGAGCGUUCUGUAAGCCUGCGAAGGUGUGCUGUGAGGCAUGCUGGAGGUAUCAGAAGUGCGAAUGCUGACAUAAGUAACGAUAAAGCGGGUGAAA